CAGUAGCCACGGGAAUACGGAGGGGGCUAGCGUUGUUCGGAAUUACUGGGCGUAAAGCGCACGUAGGCGGCGAUCUAAGUCAGGGGUAAAAGCCCGGGGCUCAACCCCGGAAUAGCCUUCGAGACUGGAUUGCUAGAAUCUGGGAGAGGUGAGUGGAAUUCCGAGUGUAGAGGUGAAAUUCGUAGAUAUUCGGAAGAACACCAGUGGCGAAGGCGGCUCACUGGACCAGUAUUGACGCUGAGGUGCGAAAGCGUGGGGAGCAAACAGGAUUAGAUACCCCGGUAGUCCCUGUCUCUUAUAC
rnacentral:rRNA from 1 species